rnacentral:tRNA from 1 species
CAGGGAGACAAACCUGAUUGUGAUGUCUGAGUGUUUUUAAUCUCAGGCCAUGAUCCUGUCAUCUCUAGGUCGAUCGGUACCUCAGGGUUGGACUGCAGAAGACUUGAGUGAUCAAGACUUGCUGUGGAUACAACUUUCAGUUUCUAAACGUUGUCUAGGUCACCCCAUGCGGGCUGACUUUCCUGGGCCAUUAGCUCAGGUGGUUAGAGCGCACCCCUGAUAAGGGUGAGGUCCCUGGUUCAAGUCCAGGAUGGCCCAUUCGUCGUGUCUGCGCGACGAUGGACAUUGGGGGUUUAGCUCAGUUGGUAGAGCGCCUGCUUUGCAAGCAGGAUGUCAGCGGUUCGAGUCCGCUAACCUCCACUGACCAACCCCUAACCAGGAAGCAGAGCGACGGGUGAACUAGAUGGUUGGCGCUGAGGACGAUUUCAGCCUCAGCUCAUUCCCAAUGAACACGAGCAAACCAACGGAGCGAUCGAUGCGAUCAAUGCGAUCAAUGCGAUCAAUCCAAUUGUUUAGCGGAUGUUCCAAGCGGUUGAGCUGAUGCUGGAUUCAGCGAGUGCCCUGCGAGAGCUGGGUGUUGGCUUGUGAUUCAGCAGAACCUUGACAACUGCAUAGGUGAGUCUGGAAAGACAAAGCAUCUCAUGGAUGUGAUCUGAUCUGAUUUGAGUUCGCUCAGGUUAGGUGAGGUCAGCAUUCUAUUUUUGAGAGCCGAGACCUUCUAGCGUUCUUACUAAGGCGCAGAGCCGAGGUGAGUUUGAUCCUUGUUUCAAACUGAAGCAGCAAUGCUUUAAGUGAAACUUGAGAGAAUAGGCCUCAACAGCCUGAAGCGUUAGGAGGAUGAAUU